UACGUAGGGUCCGAGCGUUGUCCGGAGUCACUGGGCGUAAAGCGCGCGCAGGCGGCGGUGCUGGCCCGGCGUGAAAGCCCCCGGCUCAACCGGGGAGGGUCGUCGGGGACCGCACCGCUUGAGGGCGGUAGGGGCUGGUGGAAUGCCUGGUGUAGUGGUGAAAUGCGUAGAGAUCAGGCGGAACACCCGUGGCGAAGGCGGCCAGCUGGGCCGUCCCUGACGCUGAGGCGCGAAGGCGUGGGGAGCGAACGGG
rnacentral:rRNA from 1 species